rnacentral:rRNA from 1 species
AGAGUUUGAUCCUGGCUCAGGAUGAACGCUGGCGGCGUGCCUAAUACAUGCAAGUCGAACGAAUCUCUUCGGAGAUGAGUGGCGAACGGGUGAGUAAUACAUAGGUAACCUGCCCCUGUGCGGGGGAUAACAGGAGGAAACUCCUGCUAAUACCGCAUAGCCAUGAGCACCGCAUGGAGCUCAUGCCAAAUAUCCUUUCGGGGAUAGCGCAGGGAUGGACCUAUGGCGCAUUAGCUUGUUGGCGGGGCAACGGCCCACCAAGGCAACGAUGCGUAGCCGGCCUGAGAGGGCGGACGGCCACAUUGGGACUGAGACACGGCCCAGACUCCUACGGGAGGCAGCAGUAGGGAAUUUUCGGCAAUGGGGGAAACCCUGACCGAGCAACGCCGCGUGAGCGAAGAAGGCCUUCGGGUCGUAAAGCUCUGUUGUAAAGGAAGAACGGCGCAUACAGGAAAUGGUAUGCGAGUGACGGUACUUUACCAGAAAGCCACGGCUAACUACGUGCCAGCAGCCGCGGUAAUACGUAGGUGGCGAGCGUUAUCCGGAAUCAUUGGGCGUAAAGAGGGAGCAGGCGGCCGCAAGGGUCUGUGGUGAAAGACCGAAGCUAAACUUCGGUAAGCCAUGGAAACCGGGCGGCUAGAGUGCGGAAGAGGAUCGUGGAAUUCCAUGUGUAGCGGUGAAAUGCGUAGAUAUAUGGAGGAACACCAGUGGCGAAGGCGACGGUCUGGGCCGCAACUGACGCUCAUUCCCGAAAGCGUGGGGAGCAAAUAGGAUUAGAUACCCUAGUAGUCCACGCCGUAAACGAUGGUCACUAAGUGUCGGGGGUCAAACCCCGGUGCUGCAGUCAACGCAAUAAGUGAUCCACCUGGGGAGUACGACCGCAAGGUUGAAAC